rnacentral:rRNA from 1 species
UACGUAGGUGGCAAGCGUUGUCCGGAUUUAUUGGGUUUAAAGGGUGCGUAGGCGGCCUAUUAAGUCAGUGGUGAAAUAUUUCAGCUCAACUGGAAUUGUGCCAUUGAUACUGAUGGGCUUGAGUACAGAUGAGGUAGGCGGAAUUGACGGUGUAGCGGUGAAAUGCUUAGAUAUCGUCAAGAACACCUAUAGCGAAGGCAGCUUACUAGGCUGUAACUGACGCUGAGGCACGAAAGCGUGGGGAGCGAACAGG